rnacentral:RNase_P_RNA from 1 species
UGACUGAAUCGGACGGUCGCGUAGCCAAGCCGAAAGGCUGUCUAUGAGGAAAGUCCGGGCUCCAUAUGGCAAGGAUAACAGAUAACGUCUGCCGAAGGCGACUUCAGGGAAAGUGCAACAGAAAUAAACCGCCGACUUUGUCGGUAAGGAUGGAAAGGCGAGGUAAGAGCUCACCGGCGUGGCGGAGACGUCGCGGCCAUGUAAACCCUAUCCGGAGCAACACCGCAAGAGACGAGAUUUUCUCAUAUCAGCCUGAUAAUGUCUCGAAGGUGGCAUGAGGCGUCGGGCAACCGACGUCCAAGAUAGAUGACCGUACAAGGAACUUUGUUCCAGGACAAAACCCGGCUUAUAGAUUCAGUCGUAUU